UGGGCGUGAUCACUCUUCUACCUUCAGUUAUGCUUUUGUGGGGAUUGACCAUGGAACUGGCAUGUAUUAUGAACUGAGUUGGAGUUGUUUCAAAACUACUUUGUUUCCGCUACUGCUAUGGUUUGUAAUAACCUCUUUUAAACUCUGAUGUGAUGUAAAACUAUGUUCUGUGUUGAAUGUUGUAAUCUGUGAUGGUGAUGCUUGAUCAUGUACGAUCUUGGUUGUAUGUUGGUUGAAUCGAGGUCUUUUGAGAUUUCGUCGGACUACCGGGUUUAUAUGGGUUCAAGUCCAUUGGCUUGACUGCCUCAGUGGUCGCUAAUUCACUUGAAUUCUUAUAAAUUGGACGGUUCUGUUACAUUUCCUGUCCCAAACCGACCUACAAACUCGAAUCCACUAUUUUGACCAUCAAAAGUUCGAUUUGAUCCAUAGAUAUUGAACAGACUGGUAUACUCUCUCACCUCUUACUUUUUGACGCAUU
rnacentral:lncRNA from 1 species